ensembl:lncRNA
GUCAGUACAGACACACAACGAGUAGGGCACGUGUCAGUACAGACACACAACAAGUAGGUCUGGUGUCAGUACAGACACACAACAACUAGGUCUGGUGUCAGUACAGACACACAACAACUAGGUCACAUGUCAGUACAGACACACAACCAGUAGGUCACAUGUCAGUACAGACAUAGAACCAGAAGGUCACAUGUCAGUACAGACACACAACCAGUAGGUCACAUGUCAGUACAGACACACAACCAGUAGGUCACAUGGCAGUACAGACACACAACCAGUAGGUCACAUGUCAGUACAGACACACAACAAGAAGGUCACAUGUCAGUACAGACACACAACAAGUAAGUCACAUGUCAGUACAGACACACAACAAGUAGGUCACGUGUCAGUACAGACACACAACAAGUAGGUCAUAUGUUGUACAGACACACAACAAGUAGGUCACAUGUCAGUACAGACACACAACAAGUAGGUCAC